UUGUUGGGAACCACAGUUGUAUGACAAAUGAGUGAGGAGGUCUUGGGGACGCUAUCUCAUUCUGUAGGCAGCAUUGUGCCUGACCUAAACCCAAAUACCCAGGCCCCAGUCUCCCGGGUGACACCUGAAGGCCCCGGUUUCCUGGCAACCAGGAACAAUGGCCCCUGGGAAAAGCACACACUUUCGGAUAGGGCAGCUUUUUCUCUGUGUGCCCCUGGGUAGGAUGGAGAGUGCUCUACCUCUGCAGGCAGAAGCUGGAAGGGAAUUUAUACCACCAAGGGCACUGAGGCCCGCCGGCCAUCUCACCACCUUCAUCCUGAGCAGCAGGAGCUCUCCUACCUGGAUGGGAGUUGGAGUACAGGAAACAAAAUCAGGCUCACAGAAGGGUAAUGUCCGCACGGGGCCCAGGAUUCAGUGGUGCACCCACAUACUCAGACGUCUCUGUGGCAGAGUGCCAGGAACAGAGGUAGGGUCCUGGAGCACAGGAUACAGGGACAAAGGACAAUUGGCCUGGGAAAGAAUAAGUGAUCCAAAAUCACAGGUAUGGGAGAAGAUGGAGAGCAAUAAGACCACAGCCCGAAGAUGCCAAGGUUAAGGAUUCAGAAAAGCAAGAGGGCUCCAGGCUGUCCCGGGUUAGGGAUUGGGGGACAAGACCUCAGCUGCUGAUCUGACUUACCAGUGCUGGCCAAUCAGGCACAGCAUCAGGCAGACCAGUGCCAAUGAGCAGAGGGCUGCACUCAAG
rnacentral:lncRNA from 1 species